ensembl:rRNA 5S_rRNA 5S ribosomal RNA
GUAUAUGGUCAUGCCACUCUGAAUGCACCUGAUCUUAGCAGUUAAGCAGGUUCAGGCCAGGUUAGUACAUGGUUUGUAGAAUUCCUGGGAAUACUGCUUGCUAUAGGCU